CAGGGCAGAGGUGUCACCUGGCUCCAACCCCCCUCCUGGGUUCUCAUGUUACGUGCUCAGGUAUCAUCCCUCAAGGCAAGUCUCCCAUCCCCACUGCAGCCAGUCCCAGCAAAACUCCCCUGCAACCUUCCCAGGUCAAUACUCCCCACUCACUGCUGGGUCACAGG